rnacentral:rRNA from 1 species
GAUGAACGCUGGCGGCGUGCCUAAUACAUGCAAGUCGAGCGAACAGACGAGGAGCUUGCUCCUCUGACGUUAGCGGCGGACGGGUGAGUAACACGUGGAUAACCUACCUAUAAGACUGGGAUAACUUCGGGAAACCGGAGCUAAUACCGGAUAAUAUAUUGAACCGCAUGGUUCAAUAGUGAAAGACGGUUUUGCUGUCACUUAUAGAUGGAUCCGCGCCGCAUUAGCUAGUUGGUAAGGUAACGGCUUACCAAGGCGACGAUGCGUAGCCGACCUGAGAGGGUGAUCGGCCACACUGGAACUGAGACACGGUCCAGACUCCUACGGGAGGCAGCAGUAGGGAAUCUUCCGCAAUGGGCGAAAGCCUGACGGCGCAACGCCGCGUGAGUGAUGAAGGUCUUCGGAUCGUAAAACUCUGUUAUUAGGGAAGAACAAAUGUGUAAGUAACUAUGCACGUCUUGACGGUACCUAAUCAGAAAGCCACGGCUAACUACGUG